AAGCUUUACUUUACAUUUAUUUAUGUUUCUCUUCCAUGUGCAUGUUGUGUGAUUUUAGAUAUUCAUAUAAUUAUUUUCCUGAUCAUCAUAACACUGAUUCUUAUCCUGUAUGCUCUGACUGUUGGAUUUGGACUUUACAGAAUUAAACAAUUGAGCAGCAAGCUGAAGGUUCACAAUGAUGCAGGCGCAUAUGCUUCUCUUCAGCUCUCUGCUCCGGUGUCUGAAUAUGAGACUUUGAAUCUUAAGAAAGACAACACACAGUAAACAACAAAUAAAGAUUUGGUAAUUUCAUCAGAUUUGUCCCUCUGUAUAUUAAAAAGAAUAUUAAUUUUAAUAAAUAAUAAAUAAAUCUUACUCAACUUUAAUGCAAGUGCUGCUUUGAUGUUAGUAUUUUUUACAUGUAUUGCAGAAGUGAUUAAUAUGUGAUGUUCAAAAAAACAGGAAAAGACAAAAAAUACCAGCACUCUUAACAUGCUUAAAAGGACCACACCUAAAAAAUGACUAUACCCUUCAUCUGUUAUCACACUGGGAUCUGGCAGCAACAAAUAGAUGUUUUUGAACUGUAAAUGUCAGUGGCAAUGAAUUUAUGCACACAAUUUUUAGUAUUUGUGAUACAGUUUCUUUA